rnacentral:rRNA from 1 species
UACGAAGGGGGCUAGCGUUGCUCGGAAUCACUGGGCGUAAAGCGCACGUAGGCGGCUUCUUAAGUCAGGGGUGAAAUCCUGGAGCUCAACUCCAGAACUGCCCUUGAUACUGAGGAGCUCGAGUCCGGAAGAGGUGAGUGGAACUGCGGGUGUAGAGGUGAAAUUCGUAGAUAUUCGCAAGAACACCAGUGGCGAAGGCGGCUCACUGGCCCGAUACUGACGCUGAGGCACGAAAGCGUGGGGAGCAAACAGG